CAAAGAUCUGGGCUUCCCUGGUGGCGCAGUGGUUGAGAGUCUGCCUGCCGAUGCAGGGGACACGGGUUCGUGGCCCGGUCCGGGAAGAUCCCACAUGCUGUGGAGCGGCUGGGCCCGUGAGCCAUGGCCGCUGAGCCUGCAUGUCCGGAGCCUGUGCUCCGCAACGGGAGAGGCCACAACAGUGAGAGGCCCGCGUACCGCAAAAAAAAAAAAAAAAAAAAAAAGAAAGAAAUU